AAACGGCGUAUUGUUUUGGUGACUACCUAAAACGGAUCGUUAUGUCAACUUGAUGGUACGAAUUAGCGAUGCAGAUCAGUUUAGGUCCUGAACUGGAUCACAUUAAGAGAUGAUGGACUGGUGUAACUUACCAGCAAGAAAAGCGACAUCGUCAAGAUCCUGGUCCACCAUGUUGCGCCAAGCAGCUGCUGGAGAAUUAAUACAGAAAAUCAGAUGUCUUACAUUUCAAUUUAAUCGAUUAAAAUGAGGUGAGCAACAUUUUAAUCGACUAAAUUGGGAUUGAUAAUUUUAUGAAUAAAUUAUGAAUAAACAUUUUAUUAGUAGUAUUAGUAUUAUGUACAUAGUUUAAUAUUUAUUUUGUAAACACUCAGCUUCUGUUAUCCUAUACAAUAAUUUGUUGAAGAUGAUAAUGCUGAUUUUCACACUUCUUAUACUAUUAUGUAUGUAAUAGCAUAUUAAAAACUGAUUGUAACGAUAUGAAAGAUAAACCUUUCUUUUCAACGUAA